GUUUUGGUGGCCUAGUGGUUUAGAGCGUCCGCCCAGUAACCGGCAGGUCGCGUGGUUCGAACCCCGGUCGAGUCAUAACUAAGACA